GGUCUAGUUUUAAAAGAUCAAACCAAGCCAAUUUUGCCAGAUCAAAAUAUUAAAGGCAAUUUUGACAGAUACAUUGUAUUAUAACUUCAUUUUAUUAAACAUUAUUUAUUUUAGUUUUUUCAAUGAAAGUACAAUUACUUUGAGAAGAAGGAGAAGCUAAGCAACAGAACAGAAUUCAUUUGAGGCAUUGCUUUCUAGAUUAUAUAGUGGAGUCAUAGAUCGUCCUAUUGAUUUAUGUGCAUAUGAGGAGCAGUAGUCAAUGAAUAAUUUUGUGAUGAGAGAAUUAGCUCCUCAGAUGUAAGUGGAAGGGAAGCUAUAUACAUUAUAUGUUUAAAUGAAAUUAACAACAGGAUUAAAUAUUGAGGAGAUCCUAUAGCUACAGUAUAUAUAAAUGUAACUGCAACUAUAUUCCAAGAGUCUGAUGGCUGAUAAUGUAUUACAGGAUUUUAUCAUUCAAGCAACAUCUUAGAAGUUAGAAGGAUAUGUGCAAAUGUAUGAAGGAAGCCUUGGGUACAAAUAGCAAUUACAGCAAUUACAUGCAGGAGAGAACUCUUAAACAUUACUAACAGACAUGUAGUCAUUAUAUGAGAGUGGUGUAUUCAAGAAAUCUAAAACACAUGGAAUUAAAUAUCGUGUAUAUUUUUUCAACCACAAGUACUCUCAGAAUAUAAUACAAUUCAAAUUCAAGUUAUUGU